AGAGUUUGAUCCUGGCUCAGGAUGAACGCUAGCUACAGGCUUAACACAUGCAAGUCGAGGGGAAACGACAUCGAAAGCUUGCUUUUGAUGGGCGUCGACCGGCGCACGGGUGAGUAACGCGUAUCCAACCUGCCCACCACUUGGGGAUAACCUUGCGAAAGUAAGACUAAUACCCAAUGACGUCUCUAGAAGACAUCUGAAAGAGAUUAAAGAUUUAUCGGUGAUGGAUGGGGAUGCGUCUGAUUAGCUUGUUGGCGGGGUAACGGCCACCAAGGCGACGAUCAGUAGGGGUUCUGAGAGGAAGGUCCCCCANAUUGGAACUGAGACACGGUCCAAACUCUUACAGGAGGCA
rnacentral:rRNA from 1 species